UACGUAGGGUGCAAGCGUUGUCCGGAAUUAUUGGGCGUAAAGAGCUUGUAGGCGGUUUGUCGCGUCUGCUGUGAAAUUUCGGGGCUCAACCCCGAACUUGCAGUGGGUACGGGCAGACUAGAGUGUGGUAGGGGAGACUGGAAUUCCUGGUGUAGCGGUGAAAUGCGCAGAUAUCAGGAGGAACACCGAUGGCGAAGGCGGAUCUCUGGGCCAUUACUGACGCUGAGGAGCGAAAGCGUGGGGAGCGAACAGG
rnacentral:rRNA from 1 species